UACGGAGGGUGCAAGCGUUAUCCGGAUUUACUGGGUUUAAAGGGUGCGUAGGUGGGUUGGGAAGUCAGUGGUGAAAUACUUUCGCUUAACGAAGGAACUGCCAUUGAUACUAUCAAUCUUGAAUGUAGUGGAGGUAGGCGGAAUGCGUCAUGUAGCGGUGAAAUGCUUAGAUAUGACGCAGAACACCAAUUGCGAAGGCAGCUUGCUAAACUACUAUUGACACUGAGGCACGAAAGCGUGGGGAUCAAACAGG
rnacentral:rRNA from 1 species